UACGUAGGGUGCAAGCGUUAAUCGGAAUUACUGGGCGUAAAGGGCUCGUAGGCGGCCAACUAAGUCAGACGUGAAAUCCCUCGGCUUAACCGGGGAACUGCAUCUGAUACUGGAUGGCUUGAGUUCGGGAGAGGGAUGCGGAAUUCCAGGUGUAGCGGUGAAAUGCGUAGAUAUCUGGAGGAACACCGGUGGCGAAGGCGGCAUCCUGGACCGACACUGACGCUGAGGAGCGAAAGCCAGGGGAGCAAAGCGGG
rnacentral:rRNA from 1 species